GAUGAAGAACGUAGCGAAAUGCGAUAAGUAAUGUGAAUUGCAGAAUUCAGUGAAUCAUCGAAUCUUUGAACGCACAUUGCGCCCGCCAGCAUUCUGGCGGGCAUGCCUGUCCGAGCGUUAUUUCAACCCUCAGGGUCCCUCCGCCUCGCGCGGUCGGAGCCUGGUGUUGGGGAUCGGCCCGCCCCGCGCGGCGCCGUCCCCCAAAUACAGUGGCGGUCCCGCCGCAGCCUCCCCUGCGCAGUAGUUAUCAACUCGCACUGGAGCGCGGCGCGGCCACGCCGUAAAACACCCAACUUCUGAAUGUUGACCUCGAAUCAGGUAGGAAUACCCGCUGAACUUAAGCAUAUCAAUAAGCGGAGGA
rnacentral:misc_RNA from 1 species